rnacentral:rRNA from 1 species
GAUGAACGCUGGCGGCGUGCCUAAUACAUGCAAGUCGAGCGAACGGACGAGAAGCUUGCUUCUCUGAUGUUAGCGGCGGACGGGUGAGUAACACGUGGAGAACCUACCUAUAAGACUGGGAUAACUUCGGGAAACCGGAGCUAAUACCGGAUAAUAUUUUGAACCGCAUGGUUCAAAAGUGAAAGACGGUCUUGCUGUCACUGAUAGAUGGAUCCGCGCUGCAUUAGCUAGUUGGUAAGGUAACGGCUUACCAAGGCAACGAUGCAUAGCCGACCUGAGAGGGUGGUCGGCCACACUGGAAGUGAGACACGGUCCAGACUCCUACGGGAGGCAGCCAUAGGGAGUCUUCCGCGAUGGGCGAGAGCAUGACGGAGCCAGGCCGGGUGAGUGAUGAAGGUCUUCGGACCGUAAGACUCUGUUAUUCGGGAGGAACAUAUGUGUGAGUCGCUGUGCACAGCGUGACGGUUACUAGUCAGAAAGCCGCGGCUAACUACGUGC